AUGCGGCAGCUUCAGCUCAUCACCAACAUGAGGGCUCAUAAUGACAAGUGGUUUGCAGAUUACUUGCUCAGGGUCGGUAAUGGCACAGAGGAAGCCGACGAUCAAGGCAACAUACUACUCCCUGAUGAUAUCUGUCUGCCAUCUACAGGCGAGGUUGACGACCUGGAGAAGCUGAUUGACCACGUGUUUCCGAGUCUAGAUGACAACAUGGCAGAUUCGAGUUACAUGACAUCUCGCGCAAUCCUUUCCACGACAAAUGACAACGUCGACAAGAUAAACAUCCGCAUGAUAGAG
rnacentral:rRNA from 1 species